GACGAACGCUGGCGGCGUGCUUAACACAUGCAAGUCGAACGGAAAGGCCCUGCUUUUGUGGGGUGCUCGAGUGGCGAACGGGUGAGUAACACGUGAGUAACCUGCCCUUGACUUUGGGAUAACUUCAGGAAACUGGGGCUAAUACCGGAUAGGAGCUCCUGCUGCAUGGUGGGGGUUGGAAAGUUUCGGCGGUUGGGGAUGGACUCGCGGCUUAUCAGCUUGUUGGUGGGGUAGUGGCUUACCAAGGCUUUGACGGGUAGCCGGCCUGAGAGGGUGACCGGCAAGAUUGGGGUUGAGAUGCGGCCGGGGCGGCUGCGGGAGGGAGAAGUGCGGGGUGUGGGACGAGGGGCGGCAGCUUGAUGCAGCAACGCGGCGUGCGGGAUGAGGGCGGGCGGGUAGUAACCAGCGUACACCUGUGACGAAGCGUGAGGGAAGGUAAUGGGUAAGGACGGACGGGCUCACGACUUG
rnacentral:rRNA from 1 species